rnacentral:rRNA from 1 species
AGAGCGAACGCUGGCGGCAGGCUUAACACAUGCAAGUCGAGCGCCCCGCAAGGGGAGCGGCAGACGGGAGAGUAACACGUGGGAACAUACCUUUUGGUUCGGAACAACUGAGGGAAACUUCAGCUAAUACCGGAUAAGCCCUUACGGGGAAAGAUUUAUCGCCGAAAGAUUGGCCCGCGUCUGAUUAGCUAGUUGGUGAGGUAAUGGCUCACCAAGGCGACGAUCAGUAGCUGGUCUGAGAGGAUGAUCAGCCUCAUUGGGACUGAGACACGGCCCAAACUCCUACGGGAGGCAGCAGUGGGGAAUAUUGGACAAUGGCGCAAGCCUGAUCCAGCCAUGCCGCGUGAGUGAUGAAGGCCUUAGGGUUGUAAAAGCUCUUUCGUUGGGAAGAUAAUGACGGUACCAAAGAAGAAGCCCGGCUAACUUCGCGCCAGCAGCCGC